GAGGGUAUAGCUCAAGUGGUAGAGCUCAUGCUCAGCAAACACAAGGUCCUGGGUUCAAUCCCCAGUACCUCCU
rfam:Camelus ferus unplaced genomic scaffold scaffold1455, whole genome shotgun sequence.